rnacentral:rRNA from 1 species
UACGGAAGGCAGCAGUGGGGAAUAUUGCACAAUGGGCGAAAGCCUGAUGCAGCUAUGCCGCGUGUAUGAAGAAGGCCUUAGGGUUGUAAAGUACUUUCAUCGGGGAGGAAAAAACAAAACUAAUAAUUUUAUUUCUUGACGUUACCCGAAAAAGAAGCACCGGCUAACUCCGUGCCAGCAGCCGCGGUAAUACGGAGGGUGCUAGCGUUAAUCAGAAUUACUGGGCGUAAAGAGCACGUAGGUGGUUUUUUUAAGUCAGAUGUGAAAUCCCUGGGCUUAACCUAGGAACUGCAUUUUGAAACUGAAAUACUAGAGUAUCGUAGAGGGAGGUAGAAUUCUAGGUGUAGCGGUUGAAAUGCGUAGAUAUCUGGAGGAAUACCUGUGGCGAAAGCGGCCUCCUAAACGAAUACUGACACUGAGGUGCGAAAGCGUGGGGAGCAAACAGGGAUUAGAUACCCGU